rnacentral:misc_RNA from 1 species
UAUAGUUGGGGAUGGUUUGUUCUUCAUCUUUUAUUUGUUCUUUUAAGUUUUUAAUCUUCAAUUAAUAUUUUAGAAACAGCCUUGUCCUUGACUUCUGUGCAUAGAUUCUAAAGCAGUUUGGAAGUGGACCUAGACACUGUAAAUAUAUGUUUAAAAGUUAAUCGGCUCAAUAUAAAGAAACCACUUGGUUAUGUGUUUGGCAGAUGAAAUGUUAAUAAAAUUACAUAUGUUCACAACUUAAAUGUCUUAAACUCAAACUGUUUAUAAUAUAUGCAUAAGAUGUGUGUGUCUGCAUACAAAAUUAUAUUCUUGUUGAAUCUAGGGUAUGUGUUGACUUGGUCAAUUUUUGGGUGACCUUUGGGAGACUCGUCUAAUUUUAGUCCAAAACUCUUUUUGUGAGGAUGAG